GUGUGAGUUUGUAUCCAGUGCUGGAGCUGUGAUUAUCAGAGAAGAGAUGACUCCGCCAUUACUUUUCAAGACAUUGUUUGAGAAUGUAAAACUUUCCUGAUAUUAAAAGGCAUGCUACAGCCUUCAACUUAUACUUGGCAAUUCUAUCUAAACACGUGGCCUGAAAACGCUGUACAUUUUCCCAAAAUGUCGUCUCUUUGGCUGUGCUGCAUGUACCAGCUGUACGUUUCGUACUAUACUGAAAUGCUUUAGAACAGUUAAAGCUGGUGAAGUCUGAGCUUCUUCAUUUUAGUUUUGUGCGCACAUGGAUGUUUUGCAGCCAGCUGGCAAAAGGUGUUCCCAUUGCAGGCUUGCAACUUGUAUGGGUUGUAGCUUUCGUCACAUUCAGUAACACCUCUUAACAGAUUAAACAUUACAGCCUCUUGUCUAAGCCUCUUUGUGGCAGUCUAUUGUGCAAAUGGAUUUGGUGUUGCCAGUUGGUGUUAUCAGACUCAGAUGGUGAGCUGUUGAAUGCAGACUCUGGUACCGAUCGUUCGUUCAUUUAAGUGGCGGAGUGUCUGCUCUUGAGUGAGUGACGAGAUUCUUCCAUUUGCUCUUGAGACAGCGGACGGGAAUGUGUUGCUGGUGGUGUUUGUCGCUUAUACAUUUAAAACGAUUGAAGUGUUCCCACGCCAUUCGACCAAGCUGAAACGAAAGUAAACAACUCCAAAGCAACAUGUCGAAGAUCUUGCCUUUCUGCACGUGGUCGCUGCUGUGUCAUGAAGAUGCGGCUAUGAGAGGGUCUCUACUAUAUUGCAAGACCAUAAUGUGAUGAAAUCAGGAAAUCUGAAAUGGAUUUCAUGGUGUGCUGUAGUGUGCUGGUUUCAGUCAUUUAUCAGUUGGCAGAUGUACUAGAAUGGAGUUUGUGCAGAUUAGCAGUUCAAGUUUCAUCAUCACACUGUGUCCGUGUGUUAUUUGCCUAAGCUUGUGUUCAUGCUGUGUUGAACAGUUGGUGAAAAUAGUCAAUGUUGGCUGAUAACCAUAGCAUCAUUUUAUCCGCUACAUUUCGUCGAUAUGACAUCUUUAGCUUCUUGUACCGGCGUUGAGUUUAAUCGUUCGCCGUCCUUCCAUAGUUGAAAUUGAAGAGAGGUUGUUGAAAUUCAAGACUGAUAAAUUUUUAAAAUGGAGAUGAAUUAGAAGUGCAUAUCUAUGCUCUCUCCCUCCCCGUUUCCUUAAGUAAACAGAACCAACUCUCCCCUCUCGGUGGUUGAUAACCUGUUGUGAUAAUUGUGAUGAGGGGCAUUAUCUGUAGAAACUUAGAAGGCUAUGAGUGAAAUCCUCCCAAGAACAAUUUGCUCACUUUAUAAUUUCAACUCUUCUCUUUUUUUUUUUUUGCUGUGAUAAAUUGCUCCUUUAACAUCUGUUUUCCUACCCCUGACUCUUCCAUCUGCUAACUUUGUCCUAUGUUAAAAUAUUCUGAAGUAUCUGUUAACUUAUUACCACAUAUACAAUUGCUUUGUUAUGAUUUA
rnacentral:lncRNA from 1 species